CCCAUUUGCCCUCUGGUUCACAGUGGAUAUAAAUCCACAUAAUGCAGCCAUAGAGCCCCCUGCUCUGCCUGUCUACUGGCCGCGCACCCGGAUCAAGGCUGGGGGAGGAAAGCCUUGGCCCUGGAGGCACUAGACGUACCUGAUUGCAAGAAUGGCCACAAGUUCUUCCCCUUGUCACACUUUUGGAAUUGACUUUGCAACUUCUCUCAUCGAAAAGCAGUUUAUUUUUUCACCCUUUGACUCUGGGCUUGGUCUUGUGAAUUGCUUUGGCCAAUGGUACAAUAGCAAACAAGAUGCAAACAAAAACAGAUUGCAUGAUGGAGAUUCCCUUCUCUUGCUGUUCUUGGAAACCUGAAACUGCCACGUGAAGACACCAGGGCUGGCCUACUGUAAGAUAAGGGACAUGUGGCCUGGGAACUCCUGUCUCUCUGGCCAACAGCAUGUCAAUAACCAGACACAUGAAUGAUUCAUACUAGAUCUUCCAACCUACAGCCAACCCACCAGAUGUCUGCAGAUGUGUGAGUGAGACCCACAGAGACCAGCUGAACUAAGCAGAACUGAAGACCACUCAUCUGACACAAUGAUUGUUGUUUUAUGCCACCAGGUUUGGGGGAUUGUUUGUUACCCAGCAAAAGCAAACAGAUCUAUACUUUUUUCCCACGCCACUUUCUUCUUCCUGCUUGGAAUGCAGAUGUGAUACUGAAGGUGGGACAACCACCUUUGCAACCAUGAGGACAAAUGCUUUACAGAAAGAUGGAAGAGGCCUGGCAAAGUGAUGCUACCAUGGACUCAAUAGCUGCACAAUCCCACAAGUGUCUGCCUCCAGACUUUAUGGUUUGUGAGAAAAAUAAAACCUUGUGCUGUUAAGCCACUUGUAUCAUCCAGUUUUUAAUUACAGACAUCUGAAUCCACUUCAGGUAGUUUAAGUAAAAAGCAGUUUAUGAAAAUAUGUCACUUAGCUUAUGGAACCUCUAAAGAUCCAGAG
rnacentral:lncRNA from 1 species